GUUGAAUACAGUAAUUGAGUUUUUGUUAAUUGGUUUUACAAUUGAUUAAUAAUAAAUUAGAUCAACGUUGAAUCCCUCCUUAUAAGUGAGAAUUGGUUUAAAUUAUUUAGAGAAGUGGAUAAUGAGAAAGGGACAUGGAACUCGACAAGUCUAAAUUACCUUUCAAAGGAUCUGGGCUAGAUUUUGGGCACAUACUCGUAGUCAUCGCCCAUUUAUUGGAGAAGACGAGCUUGAGAAAAAGCUUUGCUAUACCUGAAAACAACUGUGAACUGUCCCAAGAUUUUGCCAUUGUUCUUCCCCUCCUCCUUUUCCAGAAAAGAAUAAAAAAUAAAAAUUGUGGACUAGAUGCUGAGCAACAACAUCCAUCUUGCAAGAAAGAAGAGAGGAGGACCACAGCAUAUUCAACACUUCGCAUGCAUAUCCGUUCCACUGUUCCCUCCAUUCCAUACAGACAACCAUUAAAUUGCUGGCAAUUUUUUCUAUAAUGUGAUCUGCUAACUGAAUGUUUCAGUAGCAAUCAACUUCUAUAUGGCUGUACCUGCGCUUUACACUUACACAUUUCUAUUAUUCACACAGCUUUUGCUUCUGAAUUAAAUAAAUAGACUUCAACAUUGUCCGAAUUUUUAUCAGAAUAGGAUACUGAAAUUUGAACUCAAAUCUUUAUCAUUUUAAAAAUAAUUUAGUAUCACCUAAUCACAUUUACCAUACAAGAAAAUGCAAAAAAAAGUGAACUGCUAGUUUUAACAAUUUUGUAGACCGAGUUUGAUCUGAUCGCUUCUGAACAACCCGGAAACAAAGAAAGAUAGUUUCACAAAGAGCUAAACAAUAACACUACAAAUUCUGUUUCGUCUAUGAUGCAUAAUCUGGAACUGUUUAUUAAAGAAAUCCCAAAAUGCAGAAUAUCAUUUUUUAAAAAAUUUUUUAUACAUUUCUUUCCUUUUCACGGAAUAUAUAUGUUUUCAACAUCAUAUAGUAAAGCAGAACACAAUCAGAAAUAAGAACAAAUAUAUGCAGUAUGGCACUAAGAAAACGAGAAUUCUCUUAGAAAUUGGAUGACUGUACAUAAACAUAAACCAAAACCAUACACCUCCUCGAUUCUCAUUAUCUAUCAGAUGAUUCUCGAGGCAUAUUUAAACCUGAUUUUUCUUUUCCUUUUGUUAUGUCUAGUCAGUAAAAUGGGCUAGAUAUUAUAUGUGAAAGAAAUUAAACUUUAUAAAUGGACUGGAUCACAAGAACGGAUGAAUAUAGAAAAAAUUGUACCUCUCAAGGCUUUCUUGUUUAGCCUAAUGCUAAAGUUCAAAGUUGCUUUGCAAGUUAUGCAUUACCAAUCCUUAAAAAAGGCAAUACAUUCAAAUGGCAAAUACAAUAAAAUAACAUGAGAAUACUGCCAAUGAGCAGAUAAAUGAGCAGGCUAGCAAAAAUGCUAUCAAGCAAUAAAAGAACCACAAAAAUGGUUUCCUUCAAAGUUAAGACUAUUCAGGAAAGAAAAACACAUCAUAAAAACUAUUGAGAACCAGAAACAAAUCAAUAGAGAAACCAACGAAUCAUGCAUUGGAGCUGUAAUGCAAGCUAACUUAGAUCAUGAAUAAGGAAACGAAUACUGUAUUCCAUGAAUACUGACUUCAUGAAGGAGGAAAAGAAAUGGAACUGCAUGCAAUCAUUUCAAAUGCACACAAAUGGAUUACUAUAUAUCCAAA
rnacentral:misc_RNA from 1 species